rnacentral:rRNA from 1 species
UACGGGGGGGGGCAAGCGUUGUUCGGAAUUACUGGGCGUAAAGGGCGCGUAGGCGGCCUGCUAAGUCGGACGUGAAAUCCCUCGGCUCAACCGGGGAACUGCGUCCGAUACUGGCGAGGCUUGAAUCCGGGAGAGGGAUGUGGAAUUCCAGGUGUAGCGGUGAAAAUGCGUAGAUAUCGGAAGGAACAUCAGUGGCGAAAGCGGCUUUCCUGGACCAGAACUGACGAUCAGGCACGAAAGC